AAGGUUCGGUAAGUAGGCCAAGGUCAUGAAGCUUGCACACAGCAGAUCUAGAUUUCAGCCCAUUUUCUUUGACUCCAAAGUCAAGGCUGCCCCACCUCCCACUUCCGGGGCCUCACCUGUGCCAGGCAACCUUCUGAAUGCCUUACAUGUAUAAACUUAAUCUCCACAGGACUCUGUGAACUAGAUACUACUAUUGUCAUCAGCAUCAGCAUCCCCAUUUUGCAGCCCGGGACACUGAGGCAGAGUGGUGAAAAGGCACUUGAAGAGUUACCCACAGCUGGUAAGCAGUGGAGAUGGGAUUUGAACUCAUGGAGCCUAGAUCCAGAAUGUGGCACACUCCCCCCCAACACUCUACUGCCUGUAAGAGAAGGAUGAAAAGACUCCAGACUCUGUGCGGACAGGGACUGCGCCUGCCUUGAUGAGCACUGUAUCCCUGGGCACCUGGCAUGAUGCCUGGCACAAAAGAAGCGCUCAGUCAAAGCUUGUGGUUGAAUGCACGAAACAGAGGACCCGCAGCCAAGACAACAGCUGGUGUCAAUCCAGGCCAUUUCCCCGUCCCUGGUGAGGGCCAGAGCCAUCCAGUGGGGCCCUGUCCAAACACCUGGGUGACAGGUCAAGGCUGCAGAGCUCUCCAGGCGAGGCGAGUGGGGGCCAUAAACCAACUCCCCGGAGCCAUCUCUUCUUCCUGGCGGCUGGUCUUUAUCAUUUUCCAAUCAAUGCUGGUUGGGUUCUAAUUGAUUUUCUGUGAUAUCCCUCUCCAGAAGGGAGAAAGGCUCUGUUUACUGGGGCAGCACAUAGAGGACAGCCCUUUUCUUCCUGCUGUAUUUAAUGCUGUUGCUAAUCACGGAGAUUACACUGAAACAAUUACAACAGCUAAUUAAAGAACAAUGCGGUUUUUGGCAUCUUCGAGCAGACGGCACCAUCGGGAAUUCCUAACUCGGGCAAAGGAGGGAUAAUUAAAACCCCGGCUCAACUCUCCCCACUCCAGCAGCUGGAUCACGCUGAUUAAACUGCAAAUAAAACACAUGAAACCAACACUUUGUCGUCUAUCCAAUUUCACUUAAAAGGGCUUGUAACCGAUUCAUAACAGAGAAGCCGUAAACAGCAAAUUAUUUAACUAAAGCCAGUUAUGUCGUCAUUGCUGUUUGCUUCGUUCGCAGCACUGGACUUGUGCAUGUGGCCCAGGGGACGUUAGGCUGAUGGAGUCUGAGAAACCGCUCCGAAGCUGAUGCCACUCGCUCCUGAUCACCGGCCACGGGACGUCACCACCAACCCACUGUUUUCUCUGGGCUUUUGAUUCUGCUGGAAAAAAGAUCAGGUAUCGCACAGGUCCCUGGAAAUGCCCAGUUACCCUAGCUGCUGACUCUACGCCAAGGAGAGAUGGCAGGGAUCGUGACAAUGCCAAAAUAGAGCUAACAUUAAAAAAAUAACAGGUUUAAAACAUAUCUAAGUUAUUCGGAGCUGGCCAACUUCAGAUCUAACAUGCAACCAGCAUCUAUGAGGUAAGAAAGAGCCUUCCUCUUGAGUUAGAGGAAGACAGGCCACAAUAGCUGGAUACACAAGCAUGUCUGCCUUAGACAGAGACACUGAGACCCUAGCUCAGAUCCUGUUGACACAGUUCCCAACUCACUCCAAAAAGCUUGGUUGUGUGGUUGGCUAGCUCCCUCCCUCCCUUGCUGCCAAGAGAUAAGAAGGGGGGAAAGUGAGAAAAAAGACAGGUCAAGGGAGAAAGAAAAAGAAGGCAGAAGAAGAAAAGGGAGGAAAGAGGAAAUGAGAGACACUCUCAUUGAAAGCAGCAAGAAGGGAGGGAAAAAUAAAAAUACCACGAGAGAGCAGACAGAGGAAUUUUAAAAGCCCCACACGACCCGUGUGGAUAGGAUCUGAGAGCAAGCUUCCACCCCUCCCUGUGCUGUGGCCCCAGAUGCUGGUUGGGUUCCAGAGUAAUGCUUCUCCGUCCAGCCAAGCUGAAAGGUCUUUUUCUCCCCUCUCUACCUCAGGCUGAGAGUUUUGUAAAAUAAAACAAAAGAUGAAGUAUCAAAAAAAGAGGAAAAAAGGUCGACAUGCUUGGAUACCACGCAAUGUCCAAUUACUGUAAAAGUUUCUAAAAGCUUGCCCUCAAUUUCUGAACUCGCUCGGCACAGAGAGGGGGAAGCACUCUGUGACUGGCGCUGAUCCAUGGAGCACACUUGGAGUGGCUCUUUCCUGAAACAUCCCCCACGGGCACCGGGAACGCACUUAAUCAGACUCAUAAUAUUCUAUUUAAUGUUCACCACAUGUUGUUUGGUGAC